rnacentral:rRNA from 1 species
GACGAACGCUGGCGGCGUGCUUAACACAUGCAAGUCGAACGGAAUGUCCCUGCUUUUUUGCGGUGCUCGGGUUGCGACGUGGUGAGUAACACUUUAGUAACCUGCCCUUCACUUUGGGAUAUCUUCAUGAAACUUGGGCUAAUACCGGAUAGGAUCUCCUGCUGCUUGGUGGGGGUUGGAAUGUUUCGGCGGUUGGGGAUGUACUCGCGGCUUAUCAGCUUGUUGGUUGGGUAGUGGCUUACCAAGGCUUUGACCGGUAGACGGCCUGAGAGGGUGACCGGCCACAUUAGGACUGAGAUAAGGCCCAGACCACUACGGGAGGCAGCAGUGGAGAAUAUUACACAAUGGGCGGAAGCAUGAUGCAGCAAAGCCGCGUGCGGGAUGACGGCAUUCGGGUUGUAAACCGCUUUCGCCUGUGACGAAGCGUGAGUGACGGUAAUGGGUAAAGAAGCACCGGCUAACUACGUG